rnacentral:lncRNA from 1 species
CACGGAAACACCGUUUUCUCCGGACAAGUUGUUAGAGCUCUUCUCGCGCUGCGGGAGGCCGCGUGGCUGCGGGGUCAGCCCUUCGGGCCGGCGCCCCCGGCCGUGCAGGCGCCCGGGAAGCGGCGAGGAGAGUGUGCCCGCCCUCGCGCCGGCGCUGCCCAAGAAACGCCAGCCACAGAGAAGCCCGACACAGCAGGCCUCCCGGAGACGGACGCGAACCGUCCCGACGUGGAGCAACCUCCGGGAAAACGUGCGCACGGCGGGGCGCUCUUGGCCCUGCCCUUGAGAGCCGGCAGGUCCGGAGUCAGCGGAGGAGCAGCCGAUGAACAAGGACUCGGAGAGCACGAGGGUACCGACGCCCAACGGCUCAGAGGUCCAGCUGACUGGGGACGCGGGAACUGUUCCGGCGCUGGAGACCAGGAGCACCUUGCGCAACACCCGGGGAGACCCCUGGAGGCCAUUCUCUCCCUACCUGUGCAGGCUGCGGUGGAGGAGUGCCUGGAGCUCCGGAGAGGUCUGCACCGAGACCCCAUGGAUUGCGUGGGUGCCCAAUAUUCAGAUUCUGAAGAACCGCCUUCAUGGAGAAGAAACCACUUUGAAGAAACCAAAGUAUAGUACAACAACCACUGAUAAUUUCCUACCAUUUUCAUCUGCAACUCACUAUUAUUUGUCUAUUUGUUUUCCUGAGAAACUAUCUUGAAGAUACCAAUAGGUAAAAUAACAACCGUUGAUAAUGUCCUACCACUGUGUCUGUAAUUCGGUAAAUCCCCCUAUUACUAUGUUAUCCUUCUUUUACUCUUUU